GCCGGGCGUGGUGGCUCACGCCUGUAAUCCCAGCACUUUGGGAGGCCGAGGCAGGCGGAUCACCUGAGGUUGGGAGUUCAAGACCAGCCUGACCAACAUGGAGAAACCCUGUCUCUA
rnacentral:sRNA from 1 species